rnacentral:lncRNA from 1 species
UCCCCAGCAGUUGUUUUGUGUCUCCCCCAGUGGAUUCAUCUUGAAGAUUUCCUCAACACAGUCGUCCCGUGUAUCUCUCCCCGCAGAGCUUGCAUCAUAUUGCAUUACAUAUAGUAAAUCAUUGCAUCCUCAAAAAAAAAUGCGUAGCACUUCCAUCCAUAUGGAGCAUUACGCCAUGGAAAAAUUCAAACAUUUGCAUUCAUGUGUUCGAAACCCCAUCAGACCGUAUCCCCGGCAGAGGCAGGUCAUUUUUGUUCGACAUCAGCAC